rnacentral:rRNA from 1 species
UACGUAGGGGGCAAGCGUUGUCCGGAAUCAUUGGGCGUAAAGAGCGCGUAGGCGGCCCCGGUAAGUCCGCUCUGAAAGUCCAGGGCUCAACCCUGGAAUGCGGGUGGAUACUGCCGGGCUAGAAUCCGGAAGAGGCGAGUGGAAUUCCCGGUGUAGCGGUGAAAUGCGCAGAUAUCGGGAGGAACACCAGUAGCGAAGGCGGCUCGCUGGGCCAUUCCUGACGCUGAGACGCGAAAGCUAGGGGAGCGAACAGG